rnacentral:rRNA from 1 species
UACGAAGGGGGCUAGCGUUGCUCGGAAUCACUGGGCGUAAAGCGCACGUAGGCGGAUUGCUAAGUCAGGGGUGAAAUCCUGGAGCUCAACUCCAGAACUGCCUUUGAUACUGGUGAUCUUGAGUCCGGGAGAGGUGAGUGGAACUGCGAGUGUAGAGGUGAAAUUCGUAGAUAUUCGCAAGAACACCAGUGGCGAAGGCGGCUCCCUGGCCCGGUACUGACGCUGAGGUGCGAAAGCGUGGGGAGCGAUCCGG